rnacentral:misc_RNA from 1 species
CGCAACUUGCGCUCCUUGGUAUUCCGAGGAGCAUGCCUGUUUGAGUGUCUUGAAGUCAUCAACCCCGACCGUUUUGCGACGGUGGCGGUUGGAGCUGGGGGACUUGCCGGCCGUCUCGGUCGGCUCCCCUCAAAUGCGUCGGUUGGGCCUGUGGGUCAAACUCGGUCGGGCGUUGUACCAUCCUCGCUCCCGUGUCAGACCUGCUGAACCGUGCCCCUCCUCGACCUUGCCCGUCUUUCGGGUGGUCAAUUAACAUUUGAAAUCUGACCUCAAAUCAGGUAGGACUACCCGCUGAACUUAA